rnacentral:rRNA from 1 species
UACGUAGGGGGGCAAGCGUUGUCCGGAUUUAUUGGGCGUAAAGAGCGUGUAGGCGGCCAAACAGGUCAGCUGUGAAAACUCGAGGCUCAACCUCGAGACGUCGGUUGAAACCGUUUGGCUAGAGUCCGGAAGAGGAGAGUGGAAUUCCCGGUGUAGCGGUGAAAUGCGCAGAUAUCGGGAAGAACACCCGUGGCGAAGGCGGCUCUCUGGGACGGUACUGACGCUGAGACGCGAAAGCGUGGGGGAGCGAACAGG